UACGAAGGGGGCUAGCGUUGCUCGGAAUUACUGGGCGUAAAGGGCGCGUAGGUGGACAGUUUAGUCAGAGGUGAAAGCCCAGGGCUCAACCUUGGAAUUGCCUUUGAUACUGGCUGUCUUGAGUACGGAAGAGGUAUGUGGAACUCCGAGUGUAGAGGUGAAAUUCGUAGAUAUUCGGAAGAACACCAGUGGCGAAGGCGACAUACUGGUCCGUUACUGACACUGAGGCUCGAAAGCGUGGGGAGCAAACAGG
rnacentral:rRNA from 1 species